rnacentral:rRNA from 1 species
UGAACGCUAGCUACAGGCUUAACACAUGCAAGUCGAGGGGCAUCAUGGAGUUGCUUGCAAACUCUGAUGGCGACCGGCGCACGGGUGAGUAACGCGUAUCCAACCUUCCCUAUAGUAGAGGAUAGCCCGGCGAAAGUCGGAUUAAUACUCUAUGUUUUCCGUUGCAGACAUCUAAGAUGGAACAAAGGCUUGCCGCUAUAGGAUGGGGAUGCGUCUGAUUAGGUAGUCGGCGGGGUAACGGCCCACCGAGCCAUCGAUCAGUAGGGGUUCUGAGAGGAAGGUCCCCCACAUUGGAACUGAGACACGGUCCAAACUCCUACGGGAGGCAGCAGUGAGGAAUAUUGGUCAAUGGGCGAGAGCCUGAACCAGCCAAGUAGCGUGCAGGACGACGGCCUAUGGGUUGUAACUGCUUUUAUGGCGGGGAUAAAGUUCACUACGUGUAGUGUUUUGUAGGUACCGCAUGAAUAAGGACCGGCUAAUUCCGUGCCAGCAGCCGC